rnacentral:rRNA from 1 species
UACGGAGGGGGCUAGCGUUGUUCGGAAUUACUGGGCGUAAAGGGCGCGUAGGCGGCCAUUUAAGUCGGAGGUGAAAGCCCAGGGCUCAACCCUGGAAUUGCCUUCGAUACUGUUUGGCUAGAGACCGGAAGAGGUAAGUGGAACUGCGAGUGUAGAGGUGAAAUUCGUAGAUAUUCGCAAGAACACCAGUGGCGAAGGCGGCUUACUGGUCCGGUACUGGCGCUGAGGCGCGAAAGCGUGGGGAGCAAACAGG